rnacentral:rRNA from 1 species
UAGGGAAUCUUCGGCAAUGGGGGGAACCCUGACCGAGCAACGCCGCGUGAGUGAAGAAGGUUUUCGGAUCGUAAAGCUCUGUUGUUAAGGAAGAACGAGUGUGAGAAUGGAAAGUUCAUACUGUGACGGUACUUAACCAGAAAGGGACGGCUAACUACGUGCCAGCAGCCGCGGUAAUACGUAGGUCCCGAGCGUUGUCCGGAUUUAUUGGGCGUAAAGCGAGCGCAGGCGGUUAGAUAAGUCUGAAGUUAAAGGCUGUGGCUUAACCAUAGUACGCUUUGGAAACUGUUUAACUUGAGUGCAAGAGGGGAGAGUGGAAUUCCAUGUGUAGCGGUGAAAUGCGUAGAUAUAUGGAGGAACACCGGUGGCGAAAGCGGCUCUCUGGCUUGUAACUGACGCUGAGGCUCGAAAGCGUGGGGAGCAAACAGGAUUAGAUACCCUGGUAGUCCACGCCGUAAACGAUGAGUGCUAGGUGUUAGACCCUUUCCGGGGUUUAGUGCCGCAGCUAACGCAUUAAGCACUCCGCCUGGGGAGUACGACCGCNGNU